rnacentral:ncRNA from 1 species
GGGAAGGCGGUGCAAAUCCGCCACGGUCCCGCCACUGUGAUCGGCUGCGCUUCCUGAACCACCGUCCCGACGCAUCGGGAUGGGAAGGGCCCGCAAGGGCAGGCAGCGCUUACCCCGUCCCGAGGCUUCGGGAUCGGGGAG